rnacentral:sRNA from 12 species
UAGAGGAGGCACCCAUGCGUUGAAAACGCAUAUAAAAAUGGUGCCGACGAAAUGCCGCCUAGUGUAAGCGAGGGGGCGAUACGAUUU